rnacentral:rRNA from 1 species
UGCGCAGGCGGCUUACUAAGUCAGUGGUGAAAUCUUGCGGCUUAACCGUAAAAUUGCCAUUGAUACUGGUAAACUUGAAUUCAGUUGAGGUUGGCGGAAUGUGUAAUGUAGCGGUGAAAUGCUUAGAUAUUACACAGAACACCGAUUGCGAAGGCAGCUAGCUAAACUGACAUUGACGCUGAGGCACGAAAGCGUGGGGAGCGAACAGGAUUAGAUACCCUGGUAGUC